ensembl:lncRNA
GACAGACGGCCACGGAGAAGGUGUACUGACGUGAGGGGAGAAUGAGCGCGAGGAGGAGCCGCCAGAGGACCCCCCGUCGCGAGUGGACGCCGUGAGAAGAUCAGGAGGCUGGAUGGACGUCAGACCCUUUAGCAUGGAGCUUCAGACGUCUGGGAGUGCAUAUAUCAGAUCCUCAAGGUUUAUUGACCAAUAAAACCCAACAUUUCCAGGAGGAGGACAGUGGAUCUGAGGACAGCAGACAGUAGAGAUUAGCCAUACGUGGCCCGGCCAAGUGGAGCAGGAGGUCGCAGGACGAGACCAUAGGAACGACAGCGAGAGCUGCGCCGCCGUUGGGUCUCCGGGAACAGAUCUGUACAGCGAUCACUGGGG